UUCUGCCGGGCCUCCUUUCUCAUUCCUCGGGUUCGGCAGUACCACACCCGCCACGCGAUUGGUAUCGUAGGAGGGCCUUGUUUGACCACGGCGACUCGUUACUUAUGGGUGAGGAUUUACGCGCGUCCUUCCGGAGGCCACACAUCACUUCCCUUGCUCCGCCCAGUUUAGAGACCUGCGCACCCGCCAGGGCGUGAGAGAGACUACCCGGCGCGCGGUGACGCCCCAGCUCGCCCACACUUCUGCCCCGUCCCGCCCAUCGUUGCGCGGCCGCGGGCCAAUCAGAUCGUGCCUUUACUCUACGCCCCCGGCUCCCCCGAACUUCUGUCCUCAUUUCAGGGCGACUUUGGGAACACAAUAGUCGACUCGCCGACGUUCCCUUAGACGCGUUGCCAUACGUCGUCACCCAUAGAAACGGCUUUCCGCGGGGCAGACUCCAAGUCUCGCCUGUGUGAGCGGGCAGGGGUAGCAGGAAAGGCUGUUUUUCAUUUCCAAGAGAAAACCGUCACCCCGCCCACCUCGAACCUCCUCCCAACAUCUCAGGAUAGAAACGCCGCGCUCAGAAAGAUACAAGUCUUCUCAUUGGAAAUGUUAACCAAGAUGAAUGAAAUGGAAACCAACACCUGGACAUGUCAUGGUGAAAUGUUAGAACACUGGGCACGAAGGUAAAAUCCUAAAAGCUUCCAAAGAGAUAAACAGGUUAAGCUCAAAGGAAUGGGAAUCAGUGUGGCAUCAGGUUUCUCAUUGGCAUCAUUGCUGGAAGACAACAAUCUGAGGAAAAAUCAGACUGAGAAAAACUAUCUUUCAAGUGAGAGUGCAAAAUAUGGUUAUUUUUGUAUAUCCAAAGAUUCUGAAAUUGUACCAUCCACAGAUCUUUACUGAAAUAAUCAUGUGGGGUUGAACUCUAGCAAUGUGAACAAUGAAUCCAAGAAAAAAGGAGACAUGGGAUUCAGGAACUAAUGUGAGGGGCACAUGAGGUAGGCUUGAGGCCCUGUAUUCUGUGUGACUUCUAAUUACCCGGUAUCCAGGAGAUCUGAGGCUGUAUCCCACCAGGACCCAUUCCAAUCCCAGAUGGUACUUAGGAGUUUCAUCAACAACAAGCUUCUCUUCAAUAAAGAUUAUCAGAAGUUU
rnacentral:lncRNA from 1 species